UUUAUGGUUAGAAAAACUAUA
rnacentral:piRNA from 1 species